rnacentral:lncRNA from 1 species
ACCUCAUGCCUCCCAGGGCCCCUGAAUGCUCACACCAUCACCCUUGCCUUGCUCAGCCUCUCCUGCCAACCCAGGAUACAUAGUACAUUGGAGACUAGUAUGGCCUAUAGUAUGAGACCCUAUUCCAAAGAAGGAGAAGAAUUCAAUAACCUGAACAGCCUCUAAAACUCUCAGAAACCUGAGGCAGGAGGAUCACAAGAUUGAAGCCAAUCUAGGUUUUAUAGCAAGACCUAAAGAAGGGAGAAUAAAAGAAGAAUCAGAUGUACUGGGAGUCCCAGCCCCUCUCAUCUUCUCCCACUACAGGAAUGGCCCUGUUCCUGGCAGUAACAGGAAGCUCGCCUAGAACAUCAGAGGGAAGCACAGCAUCCCAGGUUCACUAGGAAACAACUGAGGUGCCCAUUGUGGCCACCAGGCCUAGGUCCUACCACCACAGAGCCUGGGAAGAGACUUAUGCUGGGAACCAGCUGGGAGCUGGAGUGAGGAACACCUAGGUCAGGUACUCUACUUCCGUCCAACUUCCCCAGAGAGAACGUCUUGCACUCUGCCGAGGCAAACUUCCAUUCACAUUACAGUUUUGUCAAGCAAAAUCUCCUUUGCUUACUGUGAAAUCCCUGCCUUUCUUUUCCGUGCUUCCAGCCCGUGGAUCUCAGUCACCUCUUAAAUAAUUCAUAAUACCUGUCACCCAAGGCUAGGAGCCACAGCAGAGGAGUGAAGGCCAAAUCCCUUGUGGAUGAUGAAUCUCUCUCCUGCUCCCAUGCGGAAUCUCUGUGACACCCAGAAGAGACGUUUAAGAAUUCCAUAAGCUUGAUGAGCUGUGUAAAAGCAGCAGCUGUGUUUAUUAUCAAUUAUUAUUAUUAUUAUUAUUUGCUUAGAAAAUGAAAGGCAAACGGUCUAAGACUAAAAGAUCGACUGUUAAGGGCCAUGCAGCACCUAUAAAUGGAGUGUGUUUAUCCCAGCAAAAAUAGACAGAGCAAUUGUAUGUUACAAAGGUCCCAGAGGUGGGACCCAGAGGAAAGGGUUUACUGGCUCACUCAUUCCAGUCAUCCUCUAUCACUGGAGGAAGUCAGAGCAGGAACUCAAGCAGGAACCUGGAGGCAGGAGCUGAAGUCCAAAGAAAGCCCGCUUCCUGGCUGCCCUCCGUGUCUUGCUCAGCUUCCUUUUUAGAGAACCCAUGACCACCAGGCCAGAGGUGGCACCACCCACAGUGGGGAGGGCCCUGGCCCUCCCACAUCAAUCAUGAAUCAAGAAACUGUCCCCACAGACUUGCCUCCAGGACUGCCUAAUGGAGGCACCGUUUCAGUGAAGGUUCCCUCUUCCCAAAUUAUUCUAGUUUAUGUCAGGUUAACAAAAACUGGUGUGAGUUGGAUGUCCCUUGAGGGUCCUUGUGAUUAACUGCCUGGUUUCCAGGGUGGAGCCAUUUGUAAAUGGUAGAACUUUUAGGAAGUAGGACCCAGUGUGAGGUUCUUCCAUCAGGAAGAUAUGCCCCAGAAGGGACUGUGGGAUCUCAGCUCCUCCCUAACUUCCCGUGGGAGAUGUAAACUUCCCACACACAUGCACACACAUGCUCAAGUUCCUCCAAUCUGAUGUGACUGUAGAAGGAGUUCUUCUCCAGACAUGAGCUGAUGCAAGCCACAGCCCACACCUCCAAGACUGAGCUAAAUCAACUGCCCCGGGUAUUUUAUUGCAGUACUGAAAGCUGACUAAUGCUUUGAGCUGACUGAUGCAGCCAACCUAAAUGUCAGCAACAGACAAUUAAGAAACAAAGUGCGGUGCUUAGUAACACGGGUUCACUGUCACACAGUCUUGGAAGACCUUUUAUUUUACAAGUGAACAGCAAAAUUGCAUUUAUACUGAGAUUGCAGCCAACACAUGAAUAUGCACAGGCAUUGGAAGCGUCCAAAGAAGCUUUUGUUCUUUGGUGGGAUGUUCAGGAGCCCUUCCCAAGAGGGGUUGUACUGAAGAGCCCCGCCCCAGGGCAUGUGGUGCUGAGGAGCCCCACCCCCAGGACAUGUGAUACUGAGGAGCCCCACCCCCAGGACAUGUGAUGCUGAGGAGCCCCACCCCCAGGACAUGUGGUGCUACUGAGCAGGAGGCAGAGAGGGAGAAGAGCUUCUAGCUUUCCAUGUGUUGCUUCCUCCACUGCACUCUCUGAUGUCCCAGCACUAAGGGGGCAGGGUGCCCAUGAGAAACAGGUCCAUCCUCCUGGACCUUAGGCCUUAGUUAUAAUUACCGUGCAGUUGUAACUUGUGAACUACAUACAAUCCACAAUGACCACCACCACUACCACCACCUCGGGAUUUCCUUCACAAUCACUUAAGUAUCUGAUCAGGAAACAAAUAUGGUUGACAUAGAGGCUUAGAAGCUAUGGAGGUGACUAUGUGGCAGAACGCUUCAAGAGAAUUGAGGGAGAUCUGUUUUGUAAGGCAUGUGAUCUCUGGCUCUGAAUUGUUCCUAGAGGUCUAAAAAUAGGACUGUGCAUAAAUGGUUCAUUGACCAGUGCUGGAUUCAUCGGAGGGGAGAGGUCAUCCACGGUUGAUCCUAUUGUGAGUGUGUGUGGUGGGGGAGUGACAACAAUCAGGGCCACUGUGUUUUCUGGGAGGCUUGACAAGGUCCACAUCCAAACUCAGGAAUCCCUCCCCUGGAGCCCAGGACUGUCCCUGCAUAUGGGUGGCCUCCAUGUGUCACUGAGCCUGGGUGCUGACAACCCUGGGUCUUUAGAAGCAUAUGCAGAGGAGGAGGCAGGCUAACCAAGGGACUAGGAGGCAUGAUGGCAGAUGGAGUGUGUGUGUGUGUGUGUGUGUGUGUGUGUGUGUGUGUGUGUGUCCAGGAGAAAGCUAUAACAACCUGUCACAGUGAAUCAGUAAAGGGAAAAUCAGCUGUUCUUGACAGCCUAGCUCAUGUCCCAGGCCUGGGCCCCUCCCAGGAGUGGGGCCAGGUACUCUGGCACAUCUCCUCUGUUCUGAACCUGCAUCCUGACUGCUCCCACACAGACUGUGACUCAUCAGUCAGUCCAUCCAGAGACAGUGGUCCAGAACUUCCCUGUGGAACAUGGAAGAGGCCACAUUUCUUAGUUGUUGCCAGGCAAACCAGGACAGAUGACUACCCUACCCUUAUGGGAGAGCCUUCUGGUGCCAUACCACGAUGUUGAUAGAGUUCCUAGACAAAAAAACUGCACAUGGUGGCCACCUGCAGUCUGAAGGGAGAUGCUGUAACCUUCCUGACAGCUUUGCAGACACCUCUGCCUUCCAAAUCUCUCACUGUUAGAGUACUGAGCAGGCGCAUAGCAGCGUUGGAGGGGGAGCUUGAGGUGUGGGAUGAGCAGGCUGGGCCAGCUGAGUGGGCUGAGGGAAGAAGGGGAGAGGCAGGGACUGAGGUGUGAGCUGGUAGCAGGCAGGCUCCUCCAGUAUAUUACUCAUGUGUGUGCCCUUGGCAAGGGGAAGGAAACACUGGCACACUGUGCACCCACAUGAGACGACACAAGUCACUUCCUCUCACAUGCUGCCUGCCGUAGUAGGUGACUGAGGGAGCUACACUUCAGAAAUAUGAAGUCUUUCCAUGAUGUCUGUAAACAGCUGAGACUAUCCAGAAAGGGGAAUGAAGCUAUAGAUAAUAGCCUCUUGAGUGGCCUGCAGCCUCCUGGCUUCUGUAGGCAGUAGUAGGCUGGGAUGGGAUGCUGGAAUCCAAUGUGAUGGUAGAUGGGAAGGGCUAGGAUGGGGCGGGAUAGAGUGAGGUGGGGUGGGGUGGGAUGAAGAUGGACACCUUCUGGCUGGCCUGGAGUUUGGGGCAAAGACUGUUUUGUUUAUUAGGAAGAUGAGACAAGAAGCAGAAAUCUCAGCAGACAGGACAGAGCCCCCACGCAGGGAAGUUUGGUCCCAAGUGUGCCCGCAUUACCGAGCCUGUCUGUGGUUUGUAGUGUAGCAUCCCUUCUGUGAACCACAGAUAAAGGAUGGAAACUCAGCUGCAUAUGAGAUGAUGUGAGGGAAAGGUGUCUGACUGACUGGAAAGUGCUGGACAGAUGCCAGAUGCUUCAUGGCUACCUCAGCCACAGGUCAGAGGCCACAGGUCACAGGUAACAGAGGGGUGUUUAUCACACAGCCCUGGCCACUGCUGUGUCUCCAUGUGGCUGCAGUGAGAUGGUCUUGCACAAUAGUUUUCAGCAAGCUGACUUCUGAGAACAGCUUCUACAACACCCUCUCCUCAGGCUCCACAGUUUCCAAGGCCCAGUCUGGCAGGAGUGACCUAGCUACACCCUGUCAGCCUAUCAUCAGGAUUCUUCUGGGACAUUUUGGUUUCCUUGUGUUUUCUAAUAUUGUCAGAUAUCCAGUCUUACAUUGGGGCCGUUGCAUGGGCUUGCUGCAUAUGCAAAGAACAAAAAAAUCUUAUUGUCAGUGCCAGUGGAUUGGUGAACGUGCUUGGCGCUUUACUUCAGGAAACAGGAAGUCAUUUUCCUUCCUGCUAGAUUCAGAUAAACCUGAAAUAAAGAAAAAUGAUAGAUAUUAGGAUACUUUAAUUGCUUUGUGCAUCUCUGUUACAUAAGAAGUAGGCUCUGUACUUUAAAAUGGGUUUCCUGCUUGGCAUGAUGUCUAGCCUGUGUUCCAAGGGACAGAGGGGUAGGAGUCACGAACUCUGGCCAUGAGUAGAAAGAAUGGACGAGUGAUGGGUGACUCUCCCCGCUAGAUUAGUGGUGGUGGAGGGGGGUGGGGACAGGGAACGUGACCAGUGAUUUAAAAGUGCUUUCUGCAGUAAGCUUAAAGUCUGUAAAAUGUAAGCUGUGUGAGGCGUGUGUGGCAUCCUGGGACCGCUGCUGCUGUACACUUCAAAAAUGGCUAAUGAUGUCACAACUGUUUUCACAAAAAUAGAAUCAAAUCCAGGAGACAGGACUCAGCUCAGUCUGCAGUUUGUAGCCCCAGUAAGCUGUUGGAUGCUGGCCUUUCCCUCACAACAUCAUUAUGACAGUCAUAAGGAAGGGGAGGCCAAGGCAUUGAGCUCUUUGCCACACACCCCGGACCCACCAACCCAGGGAGUGGGCAUGCAAACAGGAGUGUUUCUAAAGGACAUCAGUGGGCCUUUGUUAACUCCUUCAUGGAGAAACAUGCAUAACCUCUGUGCUGCUUCAUACAUGUGUAAGCAUGUACUAUCCAUGUCCUCAAGUCCACUACACGCACACCCUCCUUCCAAAGAAGGACAAAUGAGGGCAUGAAGACCACACAGUCAGGGUGCCAGAGAUGAACUCGGGCUCCCCAAACAAUCCAGGUGACCUCUCUCUCCUUCAUCUGUCAAGAGGGAUGGUUGAAAUAGGACCUUCACACCAACCAGCUUCAAUAAAUCUAUUAACGUCUCUCAGCUGA